ACUGGAUAUUAAUUGGAGUCAUUUAGCUGUGCUGAUUCUGCUUGCCGUGUGUUUUGCAUCAGUGCUUCGUGACAUCGGCUGUAUUGCGUGUUUUCGCCGACGGCUUACUACCACAAUGGCGUGAUCUGCGUUCGCCGCCUUCGUGUCUCGGUGCGUCUUUGUAUACGUCGCACGUUCGGACAACACUUUUUCCGACGGCUGGACAUCCUUCUUGUACCUUGGCGCUAGCUGGAUGACGGGACCUCAUCAUGAUCAGUGUAUUGCUUGCCUAUGUCUACAAGAACCGUCACGCGUGGCCUGUGACAGCAAGCUUUUGUGGGCAGCAAGUGCUCUCCUACGAAGGCUGGCCUGCUCUGGCAGCGGCGGCAAUCAUCUUCAAGAUUUAUCCAUGAACACCUUUGCUGCUAUUUGUCACUCUUGUUGAUUACACUUUCUGCAUCUUUUCUAAUUUAUUAGGUAAUAAAGUAUGAGUAUGUGACAUGGUGUGAA